ACUCACACUCACACUCAAUGUGUGGAGGUUCAAUCUGAGCUUCUCUUUUGUUUUAAUGCUGUUUUUGAAUAGCUGGAGGGCUAGUAUCAUACCUUACUCGGUGACCACUCACCCUCCAGCUAUUCAAAUUGUCACUAAAGAGAAGCUGAGAUUGAACCUCCACUCAUUGAGUGUGAGUGAGC